AGGAACUGCAGUGGCAGACAGCAACUUUUAUUUUCCCCAGCCACCAUAGCCCCACUCAAUAUGACAUUUAGACAGAUGAGCCAGCAAUACAGUAGUUACAUGUGUCUGGGAUUUGUUUUUUAAAUUAUAUGUACCGCUUUUAAUAGCCUGAUUACAGCUGUUCAGUAAGUGAUGCCUCUAGACUGAAGAGGACCGAAAUGAGAAGCAGGCCAGCUAAGAGGGCUGGGAGCAGCACGUUCCCCUUGUUAUUGCCAGCUAGUGGGGAGAGAACAUAUGGCCACUUUACAAAGCCUUACAAACAGAAACACAUGCCUCUGCCAGUCCCCACAUGGGAUCCCAGAUGAGAAACCUCUCAAGGAGAAUAACAAAAUGCAGUUGGAAUCAAAGUGUAUGAAGCCUCCCAGACACACCCAGCAGGAGUCACCAGGAAGCAGCUGGGAAGAGGCUGACAGCCCACCAGCAAUGAGACCACAGGAGCUGCUGCUCCCGGGAGGGAGUCUGCUGUCAUCCUCCACUUGCUAGAGUUCUCCCUCCUCUCUGCUUGUUACACACUGCUUCCCUGCUCUAGAGCUUGCUCCAGAGAUGACUUCAACAGAACAGAGUGGCUCUUCCUUACUUGAAACACAGAUCCAUUGUACCUGUGGCUUUGGCUCUGGAUUGUCUUUCUACUUAGAGGAGAACAAGGGUGUGACUGAGCCACAUGAUGGAAAGUAAAGACUAUUGUGACCAUGAAAUUUGGAAGCCAAGCAUAGGAUACCAGGAGAGGUUGGAUAGAAGCAAGAUUUAUCAGAAUUAGCCUUGGAAUCUCUGACUCAAGUAUGGACUAUCAUCAGCCAUUAGCACCAGACAAAAUGCAGCCACUGACAAUCUUCUGGGAUGCCGCUAAGUAUACUUGACCUAACAACUACCAGUAAAACUUUCUGACAUGUGCUUUGAUUCUAGAUUAUCAACUAAGAAUUCAGGGAAACAUUCUACUAAAUAACAUGUCCUAUGUAAGUGAGAUAAUUAUAACAGCCUCCUCACUAGGUUAUGGGCCCCCAAAUUUGUACUUUUCAGAUCUUUCUUCUACGUUGCAGUCAGACACAGAUUUGAUCACGCCACACCAUUGCUCAGAAUUCUUUGGAUGCAACUUACUGCCUAUAGGAUGAAGACCACACUCAGGCAUUUCCUUGAAUGCUGACACAAUCCUACCCCAACCUACCUCACGAUCUUCCUACUGCAUGCAUGCUCCCUUCAGAUCUAAUUGGCUUUUUUUCACUAAUGCCUGCACUUGACCUAAGUGAAGAUUCUGAAGCAGGAGAGAAACUGGUUUUCUAGGCCUAUCUUGAGUCUCUUUUAUCAUUGACCAUCUUUCGCUACCACAAAAGAAUCAUAUUCUAUUGCACAAGACCUAGUGGGCCUCAUUUAAGAUUUUGAACAUUAUUCCAACAAAAUUCCUAAAAUUUUAAGUUUGUACUUAUAUCAUAAAGCUAGACCUUGCAUUUAAAACUCACCUUUAGAAAACUUGCUUUAAAAAAACAAAAACAAGUAAUUUUGAUGAAUUUGGAAAUUCUGUGACUUAAUCUUAUCUGUUAUCUGAGUAAGAGUUUAAGCAACAGUGACACUGGAAAAUAAAAUGAUAUUUAUGUAUAAAACAAUGAUAAUACUAUAGAAUGUCAUCUUUCAGGGUAACAUUUGUUGAGUUACAGAACUGAUUCAUUGAUUGCACUAAAGUUAUACCAUUGAAUAACUUGCAUGGAGGGAAACCAGAAUUAUAACCACGGGUAAAAAUUGAUAUAUUAGAGGUGAAUUUUGGAAGAAAUAAAAAUGUAGAAGGCAAUUAUAAGGGGAGCACUUAAAUUAGGUAUGAAUGGUUUAUGCUAUUGAUUAAAGCAUUUUAAAAAUCAAUAAAAGAACACUUUGUACCAAGUAGCUUUCAGGAACUUUCAGGGAAGACCAUUUGAUUCAGUUCAAAAGUCAGAAGCCUCUGCCCUAACAGGUAAAAAGCG
rnacentral:lncRNA from 10 species